rnacentral:rRNA from 1 species
GACGAACGCUGGCGGCGUGCUUAACACAUGCAAGUCGAGCGGUAAGGCCCUUUCGGGGGUACACGAGCGGCGAACGGGUGAGUAACACGUGGGUGACCUGCCCUCAGCUCUGGGAUAAGCCUGGGAAACUGGGUCUAAUACCGGAUAUGACUCCAUGACGCAUGUUGUGGGGUGGAAAGCCUUGUGCGGCUGAGGAUGGGCCCGCGGCCUAUCAGCUUGUUGGUGGGGNGAUGGCCCACCAAGGCGACGACGGGUAGCCGGCCUGAGAGGGCGACCGGCCACACUGGGACUGAGACACGGCCCAGACUCCUACGGGAGGCAGCAGUGGGGAAUCCUGCGCAAUGGGCGAAAGCCUGACGCAGCGACGCCGCGUGAGGGAUGACGGCCUGGUGUAAC